rnacentral:lncRNA from 1 species
AAAGAACCAGACGACCCCUGCAUCUUCUUCACGCGAGAAACGAUACAACAGCAACGCAUACCAAACUCGACCUCACCCCAUACUUGCUUUCGUCUUCUUCACGCCUAAAAUCACCAGAAAUCGCGGAGAACCCAGAGACGUGAUCAUCUGCGAAAACCCAUACCCUAGCAACCUAAUCCAUCACCAUCGUUGUCCCUUUUUUUUAGGGAUUCUCAAAUCCUUCCGCUGAUUUCGAAUUCGAAUUUCAAAUUAUUAUUUUUCUAUUAGUUUUCCCUCUCAAACGCCCUGAUUUCCCCCAUAAAAAGCCCCCUAUGCUUAACGCCCUGAUUUCCCCUAUAAAAAGCCCCUAUGCUCAGCGAUUCUAGGGGCAGAGAUUUUCUUGAACGAUAAAUUUUACACUUGGGAAAUUUCAGACGUCUAAAGUUCGAAGAAGGUCUUUUGUUCGAAGUUGGUCUGAAUUUCUUGGUUGGCUGCCCUAGACUAAAAUCGUGUGAGGAGUCGUCCUCUUUUAAGCUCAUUCGUCCCAGCUCGCUGCUCCGAAAGAGGUAACUUCAUCUCUUCUCCUAUAUCAUGUUGGUUUACUUUCCAUUUGAUGAAUUAGCUAUAUAUUCGUUCUAUUUGAGUUCGGGCUGAUCUUAUGAUAUGUGAAAAUAGGAUGGAAGUAGCAAGGAACAUGUUUUCAUUUUGAAUUUCCAGUCACUAGUCCUUUUUUUUUUUUAUAUGUAUAAUUGAUGACUUCACUAUAUCACUGCAUUAUAAUCAUUCAUUGGCAUUCAUGUCUUAUGUAUAUUAUUCCAAAUUCAUGAAGGUGUUCUAUUCAUCUUAUGUGCCUAGAUGUAUUCGGAAAGAGUCCUAACUUACAUUUUGUCUAAAUCUUUUCGACAUGUUGCUUCCUUUAGUACCGUAUUUCCAUUCGAAUCUGAAAGUGACCGCCAUAGAUCUUUGCAUUAUAUUUCUCGGUUCACUUUAUCCUUUUCUUUUCAAAAUUAGCUUAAUGGUAAAAAUAAUAUAUAUAUAUAUAUAUUGCUUUUGAUUCAUGUAUACGGCAUCUUGAGUUUCAUAUAAAAAUCAGCCUUUUAAUUUGGUUUGUAAUUAAUUUCAGUUUGAGUUAUUAGAGGCAGUAGCAUUUCCGCUUGAAAAUUCCCCUAGAAUCUAUAUCUUGUUGUAGGAAUUUUUUUUCAUGAGUAAUUGUAAGAUAUUUUGAUAUCCAAUAGUUAUAAUUUCCCUCCCAAAAUUGCUAGUUCUUGUUUUUUUAGCCCAUUUUUAUAUUGUGAAAGUUUCCAGAAUGCUUUGGUUGGUUUUUACUUCUAUCUGUACAUAUAUAUGCUUACUCAUUUAGUGGUAGUGUUAGCAUGUUAAGGGAUUUGGAUAUGCAUGUAGUAUAUAUUUUGUUGUGGACAUUUUGUAAUGUUUACCCAUUUAGUAUUAACUAAAGUUGCCCUAGCUUUCUUAGCCUUAACUGUUGGUGUCAUUUGUUAGCAUGCAUUUGUUUAUCAAAUGGGUUGGAUAGUAUAUGUAUUAUUGUGGACAUUAAGCGCUAACAGUAAUUUAAGUAACCAUUUGUUUUAUCAUUAGCAUAGCUUGAGUCUUUAGAAUUUGUGCUCCUUACCUAGAUCUGCACUGUUUAAUUCAAUCGAGCCAUUUGCCAUAAGAGUUGUUGUGAUUUGUCUUACGUAUAAUUGUUGUUCUAUUAUUAUUGGAUGCUAACUCUUAUCAUCAUUUUUUGUUGCAUGUGAAUCCCUUCCGAGUCCAUGGUGGACUUCUCUUCCUAGCAUCCUCGAGUUGAGCCAUAAAGGCUCAAUUUUUAUUUUUAUUUUUCUUCAUCAUUCGAGUCAGCCAGGCACAUAAAACAGAAGCACAGGGCUGGAAAAUAGAAAACACAGAUAUUUAGAGCCGAAAAAUGGGUCGUAUACAUGUUGUAUACACAAGUAUACACUGAUAUACAGGACCAAAACGCAAAAAUACAAGGCGAAGGUGAAAUAUAGGUGUUCGGAAGAAGGAGAUACACGAAAAGAGCUGAUAUACAUUCCGAUAUACACUAAUAUACAGCCUGUGUAUACCAAAAACGGGAAUUGUGUUAAACUCCAAAAACAGCAACGAAAUUAGCCCAAAAGGGGGCCCAAAUUCAAAUUUCUCCCUUACUCGCUAAUUAUUUAAUUGUGAUUAUUUAUUGUUUGUUGUUUAACUCUAACUUUAUAAUCGUAAAUCAACUUAGUUAGAUCUCCCAAAAGACGAGCUAUUUCUCUGUGUUGUUUUGUUUCAAACGAAUCUCAUUUUAUCAAUUUUUGUAUUGUCAUUUAUAAUCUUUAGUCAAAACUUUCUUUUUUCUUUUACUAGUUUAACAUAGUUUUUUUCAUAAACAAAAAAUGACUCAAAUAAAAAUCAAC